UUUUUUAUUUUCAGGGUGACAGCUUUGGGAGAUGGGGAGAGGGCUUUGUAAAGGAAGACCCCGCUGACCGUGGUGGGCAGAGGGCCACUCGGAAGGUUGGAAAGACCCCCAGUGGUUUUAGGCAAAGGAAGGACGUGUGUCCAUCUCUAGACAAAGACUAACAGCUGGAAACCCUCGGUGGGUUUCAAACUCACUGUUACCUGAUGUUUCACUGCUCCAUGGCUAAACCUCGGGGUGUGACUUCUGGAAUGUGAGGGACUCGGUGGACCUGACUCUGCUGGAGACGUGGGAGCUGGCCCCAAUGCACACAGCAUCCUGGACCCAAAGGAGCCAGGGAAUCAGCUCUCACUCUCCCCUGCCCCCGGACACCCGGAACCGUUGGUGAGCUUCUUGCCGGAUUCCCUCUGAAGGAGCCACCUUUGGCCUCUGGGUCUGAAGAGAAGGUGAACUUACGUUGCCUGCCCUGGGGUCCCAGGCCUCUAACUCUGUGAGAGCGGCCGUGCUGGGGCCCCAGUCCACAGGCGUGGCUCAGAUCCGAGCUCCAUCACUUGUGGGACGGGGUGGGGCUGAAAGCUGGGGCCUGACGUCCUCUUCAGGGCUCAGGCCCAGCUCCCUGGACACGCCUUGCUGGUGGUGGAAGGGCGGAAGGAGGGGAGCUGGCUCUGCCCAGACCUCCUCCGUGGCCUGGCUGGCUCGUGGUGACGCAGGGCCCUUGGGGGAGCCUGCAGGGUGGGCACGAGUCCCUGUCGGAGCCCGCCUCACUGGCCUGAGCUCUGUCACUCUCUUCCUGCUGCUGCUCGGCCAGGGACUCGGUUUAAGCGAGGGCCGGGCACUGUCUGGCACUGCUCACCAGGGAAGCCCAAGGGCUGUGCUGGAAGUUUCUCUGGAGACCACAGGGGUCCCGACCGCAAGAAGCCUGGUAGGCGAACGACCAGACACACGCCCGUGUUUGUCCAGGAAGGAGACCUCUGGGGUGUGUCUGAGCCUCCCCUCACCCCCUGGCACUGCCCCUUUGACCUGCUGCCACAGCAUCCGGCGAGACGGGGGAGACGGCAGCUGGGACCCGCUGUGUCCUUGGAACGAGACGGUGUGUGCAGGGCCCACUCAGCCCUCCCCUGCCUUGACCAGGAGUCCCAGAUCCUGGGGGUACAGCUUACCAUGGGCAGUUGGGCCUAUGGAGACCGGACAUCUUUGCAAAAGUUCAAAAACUCCCUUCAAAAUCCCACAGGGCCCCCAUCAAACUCCCUAAUCUUGGCUCAAUUAAACUGAGCACCGACUCUGGAGCAGUUAGAAAUAUGACGGGGGCUUCCCUGGUGGCCCAGUGGUCGGACUCCGCAUUCCCUCCAUAGGACCGCAGGUUCCACGCCUGGCUGGAGAACUAAGAUCCUGGAACUGAGAUCCGCAGCAUGGCCAGUUUUUUUUUUUUUUUUAAUUAAAAAAAUAUGAAAACAUUGUUCUACAAUUUUAUGCCCCAAAAUAUUGGCCACUCUAAAUAGUUUAUAUUUUUAAAUGAAUAACUUAAUGACAUCGUUCAUGCAUUUAGAACACUUCAGAAAGCUUUUUGUUUUGGAAAGUUCCACAUACUUAUUGUAAAAGGUAAAGAAAAUAGGAUAAUGAACUCCCACAUACGCAAGAUUCCACUCUAGCCGCUCCCAACCGAUGGCCAAUGUUAUUCUGUCCUUAUUCCUUCCCAUUUCUCUGCCACCUACCUACAUUUUUUAAAAGACAAACCACAGACAGCAUAUAAUUUUAUCUAUAUUUCACUGUUAUUCUAAAGACAAGAAUUCAUUAAAAAAAUAACCAAAUUCCAUUAUCAUACCUACAAAAUUAAUAGUAAUUUUAACAUUAAAUACUCAGUACUCAAAUUUUCAAUUAUCUUAAAAUGUAAGAUUACUUUAAAGUCAUUUUUACUGAGCUACAUUUUUCGUAUAAUAAAAUGUACCUAUAUUAAGGGUGCA
rnacentral:lncRNA from 1 species